GUGGCGAACGGGUGAGUAACACGUGGGUAAUCUGCCCUGUACUCUGGGAUAAGCCUGGGAAACUGGGUCUAAUACCGGAUAUGACCUUUCACCGCAUGGUGGGGGGUGGAAAGUUCCGGCGGUAUGGGAUGAACCCGCGGCCUAUCAGCUUGUUGGUGGGGUAAUGGCCUACCAAGGCGACGACGGGUAGCCGGCCUGAGAGGGUGACCGGCCACACUGGGACUGAGACACGGCCCAGACUCCUACGGGAGGCAGCAGUGGGGAAUAUUGCACAAUGGGCGAAAGCCUGACGCAGCGACGCCGCGUGGGGGAUGACGGCCUUCGGGUUGUAAACCUCUUUCGCCAGGGACGAAGCGCAAGUGACGGUACCUGCAGAAGAAGCACCGGCCAACUACGUGCCAGCAGCCGCGGUAAUACGUAGGGUGCAAGCGUUGUCCGGAAUUAUUGGGCGUAAAGAGCUCGUAGGCGGUUUGUUGCGUCGGCUGUGAAAUCCCGAGGCUCAACCUCGGGUCUGCAGUCGAUACGAGCAAACUAGAGUGUUGCAGGGGAGACUGGAAUUCCUGGUGUAGCGGUGAAAUGCGCAGAUAUCAGGAGGAACACCGGUGGCGAAGGCGGGUCUCUGGGCCGAUACUGACGCUGAGGAGCGAAAGC
rnacentral:rRNA from 1 species